GAGCAGUGGGGAGAGGACACAUCCCUGAGGGGCACCAGUGCUGAUGGUGCGGGUGCUGGAUGAGAAUUUUUCCAGCUUUACUAGCUGCUUCCUGUCUGUCAGGAAGUUGGUGAUCCACUGACAGACGGAGGUGGGCAUGGAGAGCUGAAUUAAUUG